rnacentral:lncRNA from 1 species
GGAAGGAAAGGUCCAUCUGGAUGACACAGUGUAGAUGUUGUGGUGGUGGGGGAAGGAAAGUUCCAUCUGGAUGACACAGUGUAGAUGUUGUGGUGGUGGGGGAAGGAAAGUUCCAUCUGGAUUACACAGUGUAGAUGUUGUGGUGGUGGGGGAAGGAAAGUUCCAUCUGGAUUACAUAGUGUAGAUGUUGUGGUGGUGGGAAGGAAAGGUCCAUCUGGAUUACACAGUGUAGAUGUUGUGGUGGUGGGGGAAGGAAAGUUCCAUCUGGAUGACACAGUGUAGAUGUUGUGGUGGUGGGGGAAGGAAAGUUCCAUCUGGAUUACAUAGUGUAGAUGUUGUGGUGGUGGGGGAAGGAAAGUUCCAUCUGGAUGACACAGUGUAGAUGUUGUGGUGGUGGGGGAA